AAAAUAGUAAAAAAAAUCAAGUUCCACUAGAUAUUCGAAAUUACGUGGGCAUUACUUAAUAUAAAUAUAAUACACAUAAUAUAUACAAUUUAUACAAAACAAGGUUCUGCCAAAUACCUAUAUUUUGAAAACUUUGAAUAUGAAUGUAGACCUCAUUUUCUUGCAAUUCCACCUCCAAUCUUAUUUUAUGCCACAAAUAUACUUUGAAGCUUGUAUUUUUUGAAAACAAAGUAGGUUUUAAUAGCGAAAAUUAUUUUGGAAAAAAGAAAGGGAAUCGUCUGGUAUAUAGGAAGAAGAAGGUAUUUAUUGAGGUAUAUAUAUGGCAUACCUGAAGAAGACGACUUGCUUUUUAAAAAAGGAUAUAGCGUCGGGUAUUUAGGUGCUAUACUUGGGCGUAACAGCUUUUCAUGUAUAGCGCUUAAAUACUCGGUGCUAUAUAACGGCAUAGUUAACGUUAAUAUAUAACGCCCGGUAUUUAAACACUAUAUAUAAAAAUAUCAUUUUCUUACACCUAUUAAAGUGUUACUUAUCAAAAAAGCUACAUUUGUUUUUCUGUGGGAAAAAUUAAUAGUACCAAAACAUUUUACUUGAUAUUUCACAAUUGAAUAGGACAAAUAAAUGUCAUGGUACUCAAAAGGCUUUCAUGUAAAAGGGCAUGACUACCUUUCUAAAGAAAAAACAUAUACAGAGAAGCACUUGCUCUCAUCCAGUUUGCCAAGAAGUGAUAGUAUUUUAGAUUCUAAUAUCAUGCUUCCUAUUUAUAUAGACCCAAUAACGAGGGUAGUAAAUAGAGUAGGUUAGUCUAGGAUAAUUAUAUUUUUGAUAUCCAAUCUAUAAGGAUAACUGUUUUACUCCAUCUUGAAGUCUUUAUAUAAACGAUAUUUUCAAAUUAAAACCGGAAGAAUUAGGACUCCAAAUAAAGCUAUCCCCAGGCAAUAACGUUCCAAGAAGUUUAUUUGAUUAUGAGUUUCAUUAAAAUGGCUAUUUGACCAUACAUCGCAAUCAAUGAAAAUUCUAAUGCUUUUGGACUUGAAAAUUGACAUCAUAUACGAAGAUUCUUUUGCAGGGGCCUUGUACGUAAAUUCUUUGCGAAUUAUUUAUCAUGGAUUUUCAAUUUCAGGCUCUCAUGGCCAAUAACCUCGUUGAAAAUUAAUAAAGUAAGCCUACAAAUUGGUAAAUUAUCCAGCGUCUAAGUCCAUUUCAUGUAAUUGGAUAGAGGCAACAAAAAAAAU
rnacentral:lncRNA from 1 species